GGCCAGCCGCCGCGGUAAUACGUAGGUGGCAAGCGUUGUCCGGAUUUAUUGGGCGUAAAGGGAACGCAGGCGGUCUUUUAAGUCUGAUGCGAAAGCCUUCGGCUUAACCGAAGUCGUGCAUUGGAAACUGGGAGACUUGAGUGCAGAAGAGGAGAGUGGAACUCCAUGUGUAGCGGUGAAAUGCGUAGAUAUAUGGAAGAACACCAGUGGCGAAAGCGGCUCUCUGGUCUGUAACUGACGCUGAGGUUCGAAAGCGUGGGUAGCAAACAGGAUUAGAUACCCUGGUAGUCCACGCCGUAAACGAUGAGUGCUAGAUGUAGGGAGCUAUAAGUUCUCUGUAUCGCAGCUAACGCAAUAAGCACUCCGCCUGGGGAGUACGACCGCAAGGUUGAAACUCAAAGGAAUUGACGGGGGCCCGCACAAGCGGUGGAGCAUGUGGUUUAAUUCGAAGCAACGCGAAGAACCUUACCAGGUCUUGACAUACUCGUGCUAUUCCUAGAGAUAGGAAGUUCCUUCGGGACACGGGAU
rnacentral:rRNA from 1 species